GAGCACCUUGAGGUCACUAAUAACACGUUGAUGAAAACGGAUGUAGUAUUCUGUCCUUCAUAAAAGUCCUACUGAACCCUCUUAUACAUAGAGAGAAGGCCACGCGAGGAGAGACAUUAACUUAUACUUGGGCUCAAACUAUGGUGGAGGCUGUCCCACAAAUCAAUGGUUGUGCGAAGUUGCUGGAUAUUGGAUGGGAACUGGAAUAUGCUAUAAACACAUCAAUCUAGAGCAUCCCAAACUUGCUCAAUGGGUGACAUGUCUGGUGGAAGAAAGCUGUAUGAGACACGUGCCAGGGGACUGACACGUGCCAGGGGACUGUCACCACUAUACCAAGGCUCUGCACAGGACAUAUUAAUGGUUGAUGGCAGAUGGUAACUAAACUAUAGAUUGCAGUCGUCUUGUCCAUAGACUGCUUUCGAGUUCCUUUCCUGUUAAGGCCCAUGUUUGUUUUCUGCCUGUGUCUGCCUGCUUGGAGCACCUCCCUCCCCUGCUGGGCUGACAACCUCAGCUGCCUGUGAAGAGCCACCUCCUGUCUGUGGCCACUUGGCUCAUUCACAAAGGCUACUGGAAUAACAGAGCCCUCCAGAGGAAAUGACAGCCUGUUCAAAAGAGGUUUCUCCCCCCUUCUCGAUCCUCCUCGCUCUGGGGCUUCACCGGGGGUGGGGGAGGGUGUGGGUGGGUGGGUGAGGUUUUACCACUAAAUGCUGAGCUACUGAUCUUGAUGAAAAUGGGGGAAAAGAGGAUUGGCCUAGAUUAUGAAUGAUCAAUUAAUUAAAAUGUUUCACUCGUUCAUAUUUCUAUGGAAACUUUGUAGACUUAAAUAUAACAAGAUAACAAGUCACCAAAGGCAUUUCUAAAGUUAACACAACACUUUUUAUAUCUACAUGCAGUAAAUGCCUUUGAAAGAGAUAGGAGUCAGGCUUAAAGUAAUUGAACACUCUAAUAACGUCUAGGCGUGUGAAGGCGCUCGGUUUCAGAAGACUCCUCUUAACUCUGUCACCGUUCUCAAAUUGAAGAAUGUCAGAGUGGGAAUGAGAAUUUUCCCUGGCUGCAAGAGCAAUAAAAGACCCAGUGUUUUCUUUGAAAGUGCUAGGAAAGACCCCUUUGAUCUCACUGUCAUAUGCAUACGGUUCCUAAUACAAGAUAAUGAGCUGGACAGCUUGAAAGAUAGGUGGUGUGAAGUGUGCACGCGUGUGUGCUGCAUCUUAUCAGUUAGUGCCUGAGCGAUUUAACAAGACCCCCAAGGUAUGUGUUGCCACACGAUCUACGCUGUCUGAACCUCAGUGUCAACUGUCCCCUUCAAUCACAACGUCAUCACCCACAGCCCUUUGUUUGAGACAGGAAUAGAGCACUGGCUCUAUCCUGUACCCUCCUGCUUGCCCAGCUUUCUCCCUGAAUAGGUAUUUCCUCCCCUCUGAGGCGCGGGAGCCGUCAGCCUUUCUUUCUCCACCGUCUCCACGUCCAAGGGCCUGAUAUAUAGCAGCAGGAGGAGGCUGGGUGGGGAAUUGACAUGCCAUGCAUGUCACACGCAAAUGUACUCUUGAUGUUCCACGUUGAAGUGGGAGUGCUGGAGGAACUGCAACUGUGGUUUGGAAUGUUGCUGGGGAAAUAUACUGGGCUGUAGGGGGCACCUGUGACCAGCGCUCGUGCAAACAGACUUGGGUUCCCCCUUCUCCUCACAGACUGGUGUCAGGCCCAGAGACUACUGCAAUACAGUUCCCGCCUCAUUAUCAUGUACAGGCACA